rnacentral:rRNA from 1 species
UACCAGACUCCUACGGGAGGCAGCAGUGGGGGAUAUUGCACAAUGGGGGGAACCCUGAUGCAGCGACGCCGCGUGGGUGAAGGAGUGCUUCGGCAUGUAAAGCCCUAUCGGCAGGGAAGAAGCAAGACGGUACCUGACUAAGAAGCCCCGGCUAACUACGUGCCAGCAGCCGCGGUAAUACGUAGGGGGCAAGCGUUAUCCGGAUUCACUGGGUGUAAAGGGAGCGUAGACGGCCAUGCAAGCCUGGAGUGAAAGCCCGGGGCCCAACCCCGGGACUGCUCUGGGAACUGUGCGGCUGGAGUGCGGGAGGGGCAGGCGGAAUUCCUGGUGUAGCGGUGAAAUGCGUAGAUAUCAGGAGGAACACCGGCGGCGAAGGCGGCCUGCUGGACCGUAACUGACGUUGAGGCUCGAAAGCGUGGGGAGCAAACAGGAUUAGAUACCCUUGUAUA